rnacentral:pre_miRNA from 1 species
AAUAAGUGCAGUCGUAGAUAUUCGUGCUCAACGUUUGACUGUCCGUCUUAUUAAAAAAAUUUAUGAAAAAUUUAAAAAUAUUUAGUCACUUAUAAAGUAUUAUUCAUGUUUUAUCAUCUAAUAGCAAUAAAAAUACUAAUUAUAAAAAAAAUUAAAUAAGACGAACGAUCAAAAUUGAGCGCGAAAACUCAUGGUUACACUUAAA